AGACCGGACUCGUAAGUCCUGUGAUUGGUUGCUCUUACGUAAGUAGGUGAUACUCCGUCGGCAUUAUGCCCAUCUUCGGAUGUGAACGGUGAGAAUCGACCACCAGGGUGAGACGGUCA
rnacentral:sRNA from 12 species